GGCCUAUCAUGCAGUCGAGCGGACAGAUGGGAGCUUGCUCCCUGAUGUUAGCGGCGGACGGGUGAGUAACACGUGGGUAACCUGCCUGUAAGACUGGGAUAACUCCGGGAAACCGGGGCUAAUACCGGAUGGUUGUUUGAACCGCAUGGUUCAAACAUAAAAGGUGGCUUCGGCUACCACUUACAGAUGGACCCGCGGCGCAUUAGCUAGUUGGUGAGGUAACGGCUCACCAAGGCAACGAUGCGUAGCCGACCUGAGAGGGUGAUCGGCCACACUGGGACUGAGACACGGCCCAGACUCCUACGGGAGGCAGCAGUAGGGAAUCUUCCGCAAUGGACGAAAGUCUGACGGAGCAACGCCGCGUGAGUGAUGAAGGUUUUCGGAUCGUAAAGCUCUGUUGUUAGGGAAGAACAAGUACCGUUCGAAUAGGGCGGUACCUUGACGGUACCUAACCAGAAAGCCACGGCUAACUACGUGCCAG
rnacentral:rRNA from 1 species